rnacentral:lncRNA from 1 species
UAAAUCAUCUAUAUAUAGAUAUAUGUUGGGUUUGGUGCCUGAUUGGAGGAGAUAUGACGGUUGAAUGUUGGUUUUUGUGACGAUUGGAGGAGAUACGACAGUUUCUUGAAUGUUUUGUGAUGUUUAGUAGAUGACUGCGGUUAUUUGACGGAAGGGAAGAUGACGGUUGCUUGAAUGUUUUGUGAUGAUUGGCAGUUAAUUUUUCAAACGGGUUGUGUAGCAUUUUUUGUAACUGUUGUUAAAUUUAAUUGA